rnacentral:lncRNA from 1 species
CUGCCACUGCCAGAGAUGAACACACAGAAAGGAGGAACUGUCCUUCAGUGGUAGUCAGUACUGGAAAGCAGUGCCACACACAGAGCAGUGAUCCUCAUGGGAUCGUCGAGUCACAAAGUGCCCGGAUAUGGUCAGGAGGAGAUGUGUUGCUCUUCAAACCUGUGCCGCUUGGCUUUCCUCGCCCACGCGCCCGCGUGCCUCCCAGCAAAAGGCUCUUUGGAAGAAAGAGACCGGAGCAGUGGCGCUGAGGGGUGCUCUGCCCGCUCACGUGUGCACACAGUGCAGGGCAGUGUGAGUUGUCCAAGCAGCAGCUCCGUUCCCCGAGCCGUUGCUGUGAACCAAAGGGGAUCACUGGGCGAUCCGGAAUGGGAGCGGUUCCCAAAUGGGCCCAAACAAAGCAUUUCCAUGCGUAAAUCCGCUGCCUGAUGGAGCACAGCGCAUUCAGAAGUGCAAAUAUCCAUCCUUAGAGAUGUUUCUGUGGGGCAGGAAUGGGGCCCGGUCUGCAUCAGGAACAUCAGCAGUGCAGCGAGGCGAAAGGGAUGGAGCUGAUUCAGUUUCCGCUGGUAAAGGGCGGAUUGGCUGUGAGGAUCUCCCGCAGUCUGCACUCCGGCGGAAAAAUCGGCGCCAGGCCCUCCACGCAUCGGCUCCGACGGCAGCGCUCUAUGGAACAGCAAACAGACGUGUCCGCAGUCACUCUGCAUUCCUCAUGGCCCAGUGGCAGCUGCCUCCCGCUCGGUGAGUCCCAUCGCCAGGGCUGAGCCGCAGCUGGCAGCUCCACGCCGGCUCCAUCAUCCGUCCCCAGGUUUUGUCCGCUGUCCUCCGCGGUUACCGUCAACGUCUCGCCUCCGUGACAGCAGGACGGGAGCUUCUCACGGCGUUGUAAAGACGAACGCAGCUCGUUUUGCAUCCACUUGUCCCCCAUUGGCCACCCCUCCACCCACCCCUCGACCAUCCCAUGGCAGAGGGUUGAAGCCCGUGCUGCUCCACCGGCCCCAAAGCCGUCGGCGUCGUGGCGUAGUUAAUUAUGGGGCACUGCCAACCCCAUCGCCGUGUCCUCGGCAAAGAGUUUCGCUUCGCAUCUGAAUCGCUCUCUGAAACAAUAAGUUAAGGAUACUCCUUUUGUUGCCAUCAAAAUGCGCUUUGUCCAUUUAGUUGUGCCCAUAUUAUGGGUUUCGAGGUGCCCAUGUCCAUUACGCUGUACCCACGUCCAUUGGGCUGCGCCCAUGCCCCUUAUGGGUUGAGCCUUCUUUUCUGUGUUGAAAACCUACACAGACAUCCACAAACAUGGACACGCUCGUAACGCUUGGUGAAAAAUUGAGAUACAGUGCAUCCUGCGUGGAGCGCUCCAUCAGAAAGUGCCCUGUGUGAAGAGGAAGCUGCGGGCGGAUUUGUGCUCGCACCGCUCC